GAGGGGAACCGGCAGAGCUGGGGGGGGGGGUGAGUUCCCAUCUCUAAUGCUCUCUCUGUCCCACACAGAAAGCCCCCCCAGAAGAGAAAGCCGCUGUGGGGCCGUGGCUGCUGGCCCUCUUCGUGUUUGUGGUCUGUGGCUCAGCUAUCUUCCAGAUAAUCCAGAGCAUCCGCCUCGGAGGAUGAUGGGAAACGCCGCUCUCCCUCCCACACCUCUUCUCAGGGAAUUCUGGGAUACCUCCUGGACCUCCAGUGACCCUCUGUGAUGUGCUGCUGCGCCCCCUCCUCCGCCUGCCAACGCUGUCCCCCUUCUUUUUGCCUCCUUGUAUGUUUCCAGCCCCGGGGGGGAAGAGAACGGCUCCCCUUUCUUCCUCCCCCCUGGUAAGGUGGGGGUGUCCCCCAGAGGUGCUGUGAAGGCAGCCUGGGGUUUGGUCACAGUGUGUGGGGGAGGAUUUUCCCUUAAAAUCUGUGAUUUCCACCCCCAGGUUUCGCAAUGUCUGACUGUUUACUGGAAAUACAUUAAAUGUUGGGAUUUUUAAUAAAA